rnacentral:rRNA from 1 species
UACAGAGGUCCCGAGCGUUGUUCGGAUUCACUGGGCGUAAAGGGCGCGUAGGCGGCCAGCACAAGUCAGUUGUGAAUCUCCAAGCUUAACUCGGAAAGGUCAACUGAUACUGUGCGGCUAGAGUGCGGAAGGGGCAACUGGAAUUCUUGGUGUAGCGGUGAAAUGCGCAGAUAUCAUGAGGAAUACCAGAGGCGAAGGCGGCUACCUGGACAAUUGCUGACGCUCAGGCACGAAAGCGUGGGGAGCAAAAGGG